rnacentral:snRNA from 1 species
GUGCUCUCUUCAGCAGCACAUACACUAAAACUAGAAUGCUACAGAGAAAAUCAGCAUGGCCUCUGUGUAAGGAUGACACGCAAAUUUGUGAAACAUUCCAUAUUUUU